rnacentral:rRNA from 1 species
UAACACAUGCAAGUCGAACGGGCUUCUUCGGAAGUCAGUGGCAGACGGGUGAGUAACACGUGGGAACGUGCCCUUCGGUUCGGAAUAACUCAGGGAAACUUGAGCUAAUACCGGAUACGCCCUUAUGGGGAAAGGUUUACUGCCGAAGGAUCGGCCCGCGUCUGAUUAGCUUGUUGGUGGGGUAACGGCCUACCAAGGCGACGAUCAGUAGCUGGUCUGAUAGGAUGAUCAGCCACACUGGGACUGAGGCACGGCCCAGACUCCUACGGGAGGCAGCAGAAGGG